CUCUCUUUUUCCUCUCUUUGCCAUUUUCGCUCCUUUCUCUCUCUACAAAGCUCAAUUUUCAUCUCUUCUUGAAGCUUAAGAAAGGAGAUUUGGUACCCCAUUUGUGUUUGCUAAAAUCGAAUCAUGGACUCUCCCCCAUUUUUGGACGCUCAGGAGGUCUUAGGAGGACCAGUUCCUAACGAGGCGGUUUGCUCUCGAAAGAGGGUGGCACGUGUUCGUGAGCAAGGCCGAGGUCAGCACCGUCCUCACGAGGAGUUAGUUUGGGAGGCUCCUCCUAACUGGUAUCUGUAGGUACUUAAAUGGAUCCUGGAUCAUCAUGUUUCUAUUCCGGGUUGGCGUAGCAUAGCCUGGGGUAUUCAUACCUGCCUUUUCUAGCUCCCAAGACACUCGGGCCGCCGUCUCGCUUCCCUAUGGGCCAUCGUCUGGUCCGAAUAGGGAAGAGACGAGCUACUAUAGACGGUGACUUUUUCCAGAGGAUUCUUUCGGUGACUCGUGCGUCGAUGAGUCGACCUUCGCCCUUGGGGCUUGGUCGUGGGGGUCUCAGAGGCUGUCCGGGCAGGCAGCGUUCGUUGCCGUUUCUGGGCGCUUUAUCAGGAACUUUCCUUGUUUCACUGGACAUACACGUGGUUUUUAGGCGAGUGCGUUGUCUGGCAAUUUUCGUCCGAGGAGCCUUUGAUUCCUAUGGGUCCUCUGAUCCGGAUGCUGCGUCUGAACUUACUGUCUACCGAGGACUGAGCUUAGGCGGUCCUUGGUUAUCCUGUAGAACAGUUGGUGCUGCCUAGGGCUUCUGAUCAGGUCUUUGUUACAUCCAAACUGACUCCUUUUUCCAGCUUUCGUUCCGAGGGUCGAGCUGGGCGGUUGGGUUCCUCAUGUGGCAGAGAUCUCGUACGCCGAUGCUUUUGGAUCGGUGAUUCAUGAGACUCUUUCGGCAGCAGAGGAUAAGGACAUACUGUACGGCCCAAAGACGGUUGAGUCGGUUCCGCGGGAGACCGUGAACGUCAUGGUGAGGACCCUUCAAGCUUUCCGAGCUGCUUACUGGAGGGCCCUCGUGGCUUUGUCAUGUUGUGAUCCUUGGAUGGUCGCAAAAAAAAUUUCUAUCUCUCUUUCUUAUUUUAUCAAAGUUAUUACAUGAAUGUGUAUUAAUCUUUGAUUUGGGUUUUGCAGGAUGUGCAGCAACCUUCCGGGAGUCGCCGAGCACCAUGAUUCCAUUUUUAUUGCUUCCUCUGUUUUCUUUUAUGUACCAUAAGGACUUUUACACUAUUCACUUAAUCUUCUUUGACCAUCCUUUGUGAUUUACUUCCUCUGUUCUGUUAAUAUUGCAACAAUUACCAUACUAGGAAGUUUCACAAAUAUUGCAACAACUCUAUUUUUGGAAAGUUUUUAAUUAUAAAAUUCCAAUUUUACCCUUACUCAUGUCAUCUAAAUACCCUUCAUUAUAACCCCCAUUAUUUCUUAAUAACACUUACAUCAGACUAACCUUUCCCACUAGAUUUAUUUACCACAGUUACCACACUUCUCUAGAAUCUUCAUCCUUUAUGACAUUUACCCAUGUUCUUCCCCAAAUUUGGUGCUCAGCAAUCAUCCCCAAUUUCCUUACAAACCCAAAUCUAGGGUUCUUGUUCUGCACUGAAAUUAUCAGAAAAUUCCUCUAUUUUUUCUCUAUUUUGCUAUCUCCUUUUUUUUUUUUUUUUUUUUGUUGUUGCAUGUAUCGGUAUGGAAAGCAAUCUCGUAGUUAAGCUCAGCAACACUUACGGGGAAAACCAGAUCUAGAGUUCUUCAACAAAAAUUCAAUCGAGGCUUCAAAUCAAGGAUGAGGUGGAACGAUGGAUUAUUAGAUGAGACCGAUUCGGGGUAUGUUAGAAGAAUGCGGAAGGGAAAACGUCCAAGGUAUCAUACUGAUACUAGUUCAUCAGACAAAGAUGAUGAUUGUGUGGAAAGUAGUAUGCAACCAUAUUGGGAAACACAUUGUGAGUCUGAUGAAGAAUAGGAGGCCGUAAAAAAAAGUUUAAAGUUUACUUCCAAUCUUCAAGCGAUGAAGGUGAGUUAAUUGAAAAGACUGAACCUAGAACACCUCCUCCUCAAGUCUCCAAUGCUGUUGGUCAAGAAACACCGGAGGGGAUACAGAAUACUGGUAACAGAAUCCUGCGUACAUGUCCUGGCACUUGUGUCUUGGAAUCAUUCUAUAACAAUACUAUUACUUUGCCGCAAGCUGCAAUUCUCCCUUUAACUCCUAGUAAAUUUGAUUCAGAUGGUAGUUUACCCCCUCAAUCAUUCUCUGAGUUUGUCCAUGAUUCUGAAGAAAAUGUUACCUCACAAUCUAACAUCCAUUCUUCAAAGGCUUCAAACUGAUCCAUUUGGUGAAGUGUGUGCAAUGAAGUGAAGGCAAGUAGAUGGUUAUAAGUGCCCGUGUGUGCUGCAAAGUGGAACAAUGAAGAAGAAGAAAUGUACUUUUGACUAUUUUAGAUUGGAUAAGAAUUUAUUGAAGUGGAGUUACGAGAGAAUGUUCUCUGUAAAUUUUUUGGUCCCUUUUAUAGUAGCUUUAAAUUAAAAGUUGUAAAAUAAGUUGAAAAUUUCAAACAUUUGGCGGGAGUUUGAAAUUUUCAGAUGUGAAAAUUUGGUGGGGUGAAAAGUUGAAAACUUUCCUCCAAAUCCUAAGCCACGGUAAAAAGUGGCAGACCUCAAAUGGGUCUUCUUUUUAAUUUUGCUUAUUAUUUGUUAAUCACAUGUGCAACUUGCAUA